rnacentral:rRNA from 1 species
CUUAAUAAUUUAAUUAUUAACCUUUCAUCCAUUCCGAACUAAGAAGUGAAACGCAUUUGGGGCGAAAAUACUGAAAGGGAGGCUUUUUGGGAAAAUAGUUUAAUGCUAGGUA